rnacentral:rRNA from 1 species
UUGGAGGGCAAGUCUGGUGCCAGCAGCCGCGGUAAUUCCAGCUCCAAUAGCGUAUAUUAAGGUUGUUGCAGUUAAAAGCUCGUAGUUGAAUUUCGGGAUUCUACCGUUGGUCGGACUAACAAGUCUGUACUGGUGUGUAGAAUUUCUACCUUCUGGGGAACUAUCAUGUUAUUAAUUUAGCGUGGUGGGAAACCAGGACCUUUACCUUGAAAAAAUUAGAGUGUUUAAAGCAGGC